rnacentral:rRNA from 1 species
UACGUAGGUGGCAAGCGUUGUCCGGAAUUAUUGGGCGUAAAGCGCGCGCAGGCGGUCCUUUAAGUCUGAUGUGAAAGCCCACGGCUCAACCGUGGAGGGUCAUUGGAAACUGGGGAGCUUGAGUGCAGAAGAGGAGAGUGGAAUUCCACGUGUAGCGGUGAAAUGCGUAGAGAUGUGGAGGAACACCAGUGGCGAAAGCGGCUCUCUGGUCUGUAACUGACGCUGAGGCGCGAAGCGUGGGGAGCAAACAGG